rnacentral:rRNA from 1 species
CCUACGGGAGGCAGCAGUGGGGAAUAUUGGACAAUGGGCGAAAGCCUGAUCCAGCAAUGCCGCGUGAGUGAUGAAGGCCUUAGGGUUGUAAAGCUCUUUUACCAGGGAUGAUAAUGACAGUACCUGGAGAAUAAGCUCCGGCUAACUCCGUGCCAGCAGCCGCGGUAAUACGGAGGGAGCUAGCGUUGUUCGGAAUUACUGGGCGUAAAGCGCACGUAGGCGGCUAUUCAAGUCAGAGGUGAAAGCCCGGGGCUCAACCCCGGAACUGCCUUUGAAACUAGGUAGCUAGAAUCUUGGAGAGGUCAGUGGAAUUCCGAGUGUAGAGGUGAAAUUCGUAGAUAUUCGGAAGAACACCAGUGGCGAAGGCGACUGACUGGACAAGUAUUGACGCUGAGGUGCGAAAGCGUGGGGGGCAAACAGGAUUAGAUACCCUGGUAGUCCACGCCGUAAACGAUGAUAACUAGCUGUCCGGGUACUUGGUAUUUGGGUGGCGCAGCUAACGCAUUAAGUUAUCCGCCUGGGGAGUACGGUCGCAAGNUUAAAACUCAAAGGAAUUGACGG